AAACAAACAAACUCAUAUUUCUCUUGGACCAUAGGAGACAUCGGAGAUGAGGCUCAGCUCAAUUCCGUCCGGACUGUGGCCGCAGCCUCAUUGCUUUCAAUCCUUCAAUCCCCGUGAUGCGUCCCCGCUGGAGCACGUGGUGACUUGAACCAGGAGCCAGUGAUAUUUGGGUCACGGCUUGGAUAGAUCCGUCUUAGUGGACUUGCCUUUUGAACGGUAUGACUAUACCUUCCUCUGUGGUCGCAUCUCUGUUCUUAUUUAUAGUACUGUCAAAAACGCAAUUUCUGGUACGUAUGGAAAUUCGGGAAAGGUUAUAUAUACCAAUGUAUGAGGCUCGUAAUGCGUUUGAUCUAUAUCUAUUCAUCCGAAAAUUGUGAUCCCACAGUCGGUGUUCCGGGAAGCCUCUAUCCGGGCUUGGUCCGUCCUUCGACUCGGGAAUUUUUUUUUGUGAAUUAGUAGAUUGCUCACUGUUGGCGCUCCGGGAAGCCUAUAUAUGGGUUUCAUCCUUCGUUCAACACUGAAUUUUUUUUAAUUUUUUUUAUCGUGUACGUAUAUAAAUUAGACUUGAUCACUGUUGGUGUCCCGAGAAACCUAUAUAUGGGCUUGGUCCAUCGUUCGACGGUCAUUUUUUUUUAUUGCCA